AUGCCUUAAACUAAUGAGUAAGGAAAAUAAUGAGCUAGGGUAGCGCCUGGCUCCAGAGUAACAUCUCUGAACAAUUUGUGUGAGGGCACAGGUCGCCCCCAUGGUGACCCGCCUACUUAGCGGGAUGCCUGGGUUGUUGUGAUCUGCCUA